GAUCCUGGUCCUGUCCCGGACCCGGACCCGAUCCUGUCCCGAUCCUGAGUGAAAAUGGGGCUCUGCCUCGCAGGUGAGGGACAGAGCAGAGCUGGGAUUCGCGCCGGGAUGUGAACCGGAGCCGGGAAUAAUUCACAAUUCUCCCUCGGGUCCCUUUGCCAUGCCAGGGGUCGGUGCCAGCAACGGGCAGGGGGAUCAGGAGCAGGAGGACCCCGGCCGGGUGAAAAGCUGAGCCUGAGCGCUAAUUGCCAUUAAAGAGAGAGAAUGGAUUGACCGGCGGAAGGUGGGGCGUUAAUUAAUAAAGAAUCCGGUGAUUUGUAGCCAGGGAGCUGCGAUUUCUUUGUUUGCUAAAAUCACUCGCAGUGUGGAGGUUUGGAACUCCUCGGGCUCGAUUUGUGGAAAACUCCUGCAGGAAAAGCUGUGCAGAAUAAACUCCUUCCUAAACCUG